rnacentral:rRNA from 1 species
UACGUAGGGUGCGAGCGUUAAUCGGAAUUACUGGGCGUAAAGCGUGCGCAGGCGGUUCGUUAAGUUCGUUGUGAAAUCCCCGGGCUUAACCUGGGAACUGCAUUUGUGACUGCAAGGCUGGAGUACGGUAGAGGGGGAUGGAAUUCCGCGUGUAGCAGUGAAAUGCGUAGAUAUGCGGAGGAACACCGAUGGCGAAGGCAAUCCCCUGGACCUGUACUGACGCUCAUGCACGAAAGCGUGGGGAGCAAACGAGG